GCGUAAUAGCUCACUGGUCGAGUCGGCCUGCGCGGAAGAUGUAACGGGGCUAAACCAUGCACCGAAGCUGCGGCAGCGACACUGUGUGUUGUUGGGUAGGGAGCGUUCUGUAAGCCUGUGAAGGUGGCCUGUGAGGGUUGCUGGAGGAAUCAGAAGUGCGAAUGCUGACAUAAGUAACGAUAAAGCGGGUGAAAAGCCCGCUCGCCGGAAGAC
rnacentral:rRNA from 1 species